rnacentral:rRNA from 1 species
CAAUAGCGUAUAUUAAAGUUGUUGCGGUAAAAAAGCUCGUAGUUGGAUUUCUACCGAAGAUAGCCGGUCGGGUCUUCGACCUUGUAUCUGGUUUUGUCUUUGGUAUCCUCAUAGGGAACGUUUCUGCGCUUUAUUGCGUGGUGCGGUAUCUAUGACUUUCACUUUGAGGAAAUUAGAGUGUUCACGGCAGGCAAACGCCUUGAAUAUAUUAGCAUGGAAUAAUAACAUAGGAUCUUCGUCCUAUUUUGUUGGUUUCUAGGGCUAAGAUAAUGAUUAAUAGGGAUAAUUGGGGGCAUCUGUAUCAACGCGUCAGAGGUGGAAUUCUUGGAUUGCGUUGCGACAAACUACUGCGAAAGCAUUUGCCAAGGAUGUUUUCAUUGA